rnacentral:lncRNA from 1 species
UUAAAAAUCAUGUUAAACACUAUUAUUGCCCACAGAGUGAGUCCAUGCAACUUAUUAUGUAACUUGUUACUUAUUUAGGCUUGCAAUAACAAAGGGGUUGAAUACAUAUUCACUCAAGACAUUUCAGUUUUUCAUUUUAAAUACAUUGUUAAGAACAUAAUUCCUCUUUGACAUUAUGGGGUAUUGUGUGUAGGCCAGUGACACAAAAUCUACAUUUGAUCAAUUUUAAAUUGUGGAAAAAGUCUAGGGGUGAGGAGACUUUCUGAAGGUUAAGUGAGCAGAUUAGGGCAUUCAGGAGGAACGGAAAAUCUACUGGAGAUAUUUAAAAAAACUGGUAGACUUGGGGAUUUUGGUCAUGGACAGCGCUAUUCUCAAACACUAUCAUCAGAUGCCUGUUUUACACUGACUCGAAAGCCCAGGAAAAUGAACAGGUACUGUAAGCUACGAUACUUUAAUGCAGGCCUAAUAAUGCUAAAAAUAAUGCUUAAAUAAAUUGACUGCUGGUCUUUACUGUAUGCUGUACAUUUUGACAUUAUAUUCACGGACUGUUAAGUGUUCCACAAUAAUUCACUCUUGCCUCCUUUUUCAGGUAUCAAUGGCUCAAGAUUUCUUUGAGGAAGAAAUCAUCAAGAGAUAUGCUGGACCCUAUGUCAGAGAGGUGUUUCUGGACAAUGACCCAAAACACACUGCCGCCUGGGUUUGCAUUGCAAAUGAGGGCAUAAACUGGGUCAAGACUCCAGCAGA